CUUCUAGGCUACGAGAACCACCUGUGGGGGGCGAUAUGUUUCUUGCAUCAUUUAAUCUAAGCAUAUGCAGAGGUAGUGAUGUGUGAUCUUGGACUAAGUUCAGAACUGAAGUUUGCAUGUAAUUCUACACUAAUAAAAGUUGCAGGGUGGUAAAAACUCCAAGAGGGAGCAAGGUGAAACAUUAACUCGC